rnacentral:rRNA from 1 species
GGGGACCCCUAGCGGGCUCGCACUAAGCCAUGCAAGUCGGCUGGGGGCCAUUCCGCCCCUGGCGGCGCACGGCUCAGUAAUACACGGUCAACCUACCCUGGGGACCGGGAUAACCUCGGGAAACUGAGGCUAAUCCCGGAUAGGGGCCGGGUACUGGAAUGUCCCGGCCUCGAAAGUAGGCGGGGGGAGCCCCGCUGAGGCCCCAGGAUGGGACCGUGGCCUAUCAGGUAGUAGGUGGGGUAACGGCCCACCUAGCCUGAGACGGGUGCGGGCGGUGGGAGCCGGAGCCCGGAGAUGGGCACUGAGACAAGGGCCCAGGCCCUAAGGGGCGCAGCAGGCGGGAAACUUCCGCAAUGCGCGAAAGCGUGACGGAGUGAGCCCGCGUGCCGCCCGCUGAGGGCGGCUGUCCCCGGGUGUAAACAGCCCGGGACAGGAAGGGGAGGGCAAGGCUGGUGCCAGCCGCCGCGGUAAAACCAGCUCCUCGAGGGGUCCCCACGCAUACUGGGCCUAAAGCGUCCGUAGCCGGCCCCGCAAGUCCUCGGUUAAAUCCACCGGAAGACCGGUGGGCUGCCGGGGAUACUGCGGGGCUAGGGAGCGGGAGGGGCCGGGGGUAUUCCGGGGGGAGCGGCAAAAUGCGUAGAUCCCCGGAGGACCACCGGUGGCGAAGGCGCCCGGCUGGAACGCGUCCGACGGUGAGGGCCGAAAGCCGGGGGAGCAAACCGGAUUAGAUACCCGGGUAGUCCCGGCUGUAAACGAUGCGGACUAGGUGUUGGGGCGGCCAUGAGCCGCCCCAGUGCCGUAGGGAAGCCGUUAAGUCCGCCGCCUGGGGAGUACGGCCGCAAGGCUGAAACUUAAAGGAAUUGGCGGGGGAGCACCACAACCGGUGGAGCCUGCGGUUUAAUUGGAUUCAACGCCGGAAACCUUACCGGGGGCGACAGCAGGAUGAAGGCCAGGUUGACGACCUUGCCGGACGAGCUGAGAGGAGGUGCAUGGCCGCCGUCAGCUCGUGCCGUGAGGUGUCCUGUUAAGUCAGGUAACGAGCGAGACCCCCACCCGCAGUUGCCAGCGGGCCCGUAAGGG